rnacentral:rRNA from 1 species
CACCAAGCUGUGAGCAUGUGGUUUAAUUCGAAGCAACGCGCAGAACCUUACCAACGUUUGACAUCCCUAUCGCGGAUUGUGGAGACACUUUCCUUCAGUUCGGCUGGAUAGGUGACAGGUGCUGCAUGGCUGUCGUCAGCUCGUGUCGUGAGAUGUUGGGUUAAGUCCCGCAACGAGCGCAACCCUCGCCUUUAGUUGCCAUCAUUUAGUUGGGUACUCUAAAGGAACCGCCGGUGAUAAGCCGGAGGAAGGUGGGGAUGACGUCAAGUCCUCAUGGCCCUUACGCGUUGGGCUACACACGUGCUACAAUGGCGACUACAGUGGGCAGCCACCUCGCGAGAGGGAGCUAAUCUCCAAAAGUCGUCUCAGUUCGAAUCGUUCUCUGCAACUCGAGAGCGUGAAGGCGGAAUCGCUAGUAAUCGCGGAUCAGCAUGCCGCGGUGAAUACGUUCCCAGGCCUUGUACACACCGCCCGUCACACCAUGGGAGUUGGAUUCACUCGAAGGCGUUGAGCUAACCGCAAGGAGGCAGGCGACCACAGUGGGUUUAGCGACUGGGGUGAAGUCGCAACAAGGUAGCCCUAGGGGAACCUGC